rnacentral:rRNA from 1 species
GGCUCAGGACGAACGCUGGCGGCGUGCUUAACACAUGCAAGUCGAGCGGAAAGGCCCUUCGGGGUACUCGAGCGGCGAACGGGUGAGUAACACGUGAGCAACCUGCCCUAGGCUUUGGGAUAACCCCGGGAAACCGGGGCUAAUACCGAAUAUGACCUUUCCUCGCAUGAGGUUUGGUGGAAAGUUUUUCGGCCUGGGAUGGGCUCGCGGCCUAUCAGCUUGUUGGUGGGGUGAUGGCCUACCAAGGCGACGACGGGUAGCCGGCCUGAGAGGGCGACCGGCCACACUGGGACUGAGACACGGCCCAGACUCCUACGGGAGGCAGCAGUGGGGAAUAUUGCACAAUGGGCGGAAGCCUGAUGCAGCGACGCCGCGUGAGGGAUGACGGCCUUCGGGUUGUAAACCUCUUUCAGCAGGGACGAAGCGUAAGUGACGGUACCUGCAGAAGAAGCGCCGGCCAACUACGUGCCAGCAGCCGCGGUAAGACGUAGGGCGCGAGCGUUGUCCGGAUUUAUUGGGCGUAAAGAGCUCGUAGGCGGCUUGUCGCGUCGACUGUGAAAACCCGCAGCUCAACUGCGGGCCUGCAGUCGAUACGGGCAGGCUAGAGUUCGGUAGGGGAGACUGGAAUUCCUGGUGUAGCGGUGAAAUGCGCAGAUAUCAGGAGGAACACCGGUGGCGAAGGCGGGUCUCUGGGCCGAUACUGACGCUGAGGAGCGAAA